AUUGAACGCUGGCGGCAUGCCUUACACAUGCAAGUCGAACGGCAGCACGGGAGCAAUCCUGGUGGCGAGUGGCGAGCGGGUGAGUAAAGUAUCGGAACGUGCCCAGUCGUGGGGGAUAACGUAGCGAAAGUUACGCUAAUACCGCAUACGAUCUAUGGAUGAAAGCGGGGGAUCGCAAGACCUCGCGCGAUUGGAGCGGCCGAUAUCAGAUUAGGUAGUUGGUGGGGUAAAGGCUCACCAAGCCGACGAUCUGUAGCUGGUCUGAGAGGACGACCAGCCACACUAGGACUGAGACACGUCCCAGACUCCGCCGGGAGGCAGCAGUGGGGAAUUUUGGACGAUGGGCGAAAGCCUGAUACAGCCAUGCCGCGUGCAGGAUGAAGGCCUUCGGGUUGUAAACUGCUUUUGUACGGAACGAAAAGGUUUGGCCUAAUAAGCUGAGCUCAUGACGGUACCGUAAGAAUAAGCGCCGGCUAACUACGUGCCAGCCGCCGCGGUAA
rnacentral:rRNA from 1 species